GAUGAACGCUGGCGGCGUGCCUAAUACAUGCAAGUCGAGCGAACGGACGAGAAGCUUGCUUCUCUGAUGUUAGCGGCGGACGGGUGAGUAACACGUGGAUAACCUACCUAUAAGACUGGGAUAACUUCGGGAAACCGGAGCUAAUACCGGAUAAUAUUUUGAACCGCAUGGUUCAAAAGUGAAAGACGGUCUUGCUGCCACUUAUAGAUGGAUCCGCGCUGCAUUAGCCAGUUGGUAAGGUAACGGCUUACCAAGGCAACGAUGCAUAGCCGACCUGAGAGGGUGAUCGGCCACACUGGAACUGAGACACGGUCCAGACUCCUACGGGAGGCAGCAGUAGGGAAUCUUCCGCAAUGGGCGAAAGCCUGACGGAGCAACGCCGCGUGAGUGAUGAAGGUCUUCGGAUCGUAAAACUCUGUUAUUAGGGAAGAACAUAUGUGUAAGUAACUGUGCACAUCUUGACGGUACCUAAUCAGAAAGCCACGGCUAACUACGUG
rnacentral:rRNA from 1 species